GGUGCUUGUUUUUGGCUUGUUGUCUGUUCCUCAUUGGCGUGUGGAGUGUUGUCAGGACCCAGGCCAGCCGAAGUCCAGUCACCACGUCAACCGAGGUCGGCACACCCAGCUCUGACAGCCCAGAAAGGAGGAGGAGGAGGAGAAGAGGUCAAAACCAUGACGGAGUCAAACAGUGGACGUAUUAACAGGGUUAACUUCAACCUUGAGCUCUUGACUUCUACAGCGAGACACGGUGAGGUAUCUGCAGCGUUCCACAACCGCAUCGUCCCAUCGGCGGAGCAAGACAGAAGACGGUGAUGGGCGGAGCUAUGGACCACACCCCACACUGAGUCGGUAUGACCAGA